rnacentral:rRNA from 1 species
UACGUAGGGGGCAAGCGUUGUCCGGAAUCAUUGGGCGUAAAGCGCGUGUAGGCGGCCCGGUAAGUCCGCUGUGAAAGUCGGGGGCUCAACCCUCGAAUGCCGGUGGAUACUGUCGGGCUAGAGUGCGGGAGAGGCGAGUGGAAUUCCUGGUGUAGCGGUGAAAUGCGCAGAUAUCAGGAGGAACACCAAUUGCGAAGGCAGCUCGCUGGAACGUAACUGACGCUGAGACGCGAAAGCUUGGGGAGCAAACAGG